rnacentral:ncRNA from 2 species
UGAAGUAGAAAUGCUUCGGGUGCCCGCACAGGGCAUAACAGGGAAGCCGGUGCGAAGCCGGCGCGGUCCCGCCACUGUAAGUGGGAAGCCGCUUCUCGAAGCCACUCGGCGAUGUCCGGGGAAGGCUGAGGCGGCGUGAGAGGUCGGGGAUCCGGCCUUUUCGAACCCACGAGCCAGGAGACCUACCCGAAGCCGAGGAGCCCG